AAUGCUGACAUUAAAAUAAGAGUUAUUUACUGUUAAAAACAUUUUGAAAAUUGAAGUUUUGUGUGUUCUUAUUGUACUUUAUAUCGUUUAUAACAGGUCAACUUUAUACUGUAAGCUUCAUUCCAUUUAUAACAGAGUUUUUAUAUGUGAGGUAAUCUUGCUGGGAGUGAAGGCAGUGCGUAUGACCACUUGAUAUGAGAGACACAUCCUGUUUUUAAAGGUCAACAUACUGUAAGCUUCAUUCCCUUUAAAGCAGAGUUUUCGUAUGUGAGGUAAUCUUGCUGGGAGUGAAGGCAGUGCGUAUGACCGCUUGAUAUGAAAGACACAUCCUGUUUUUAAAGGUGGAUCAUGAGUGAAGCUCUGCAGGUCUGCCAUUUCCCUUUCUUAUCUUACUCUUAUCUGACUAAAUGUUCAGCAUCAUUGCAACAAAACAAAGAACAUUGGAUGGAGUAUUGGAGUAUUGGAUGAUCCUGUAAAGAAAAUAAUAUGGACUUUUUUGGUGAGAUUCUACAAAGAUUGACACAAUCCCAUUGACUUUUAUUUUUACAGUUAAUAAUGCAUUAUAAACAUCCCAUUCAUUUGUAUUCUAUGUCAUCGAUCUGUUUGUGCUAAAAUGUAUACAUCUGAAUGUAAUGUCAAUAAUAUGUUAAUAUUCAGGAUUUAUUAUCAUUUGCAUGUUUUGAUGUUGCAUGUCAUGAUUUUAUUGAUUUCAUGUAAUUGUUGUCUAUUUAAAAUGAUUUUAAUUGCCAAAUUUGAUUGUUAAUUUAUUUAAUAUUGAAGCUGUUAUUUAACAUCCAUAUCUUAUUUGAGUAGUGAUUUGUUAUAUUUGCAUAAUAAUUAAUAUAUUUAUUCUGAUUGUGAUUUUAAUGCACAUAUUUAUUAUUGUAUGACACCUCAUGUAAUGAAAAAGUGAAAAUAAAAGUAUGUUCUGAUGUCUUGCAAUUCUGUUUUUAAACUG